CACGGGUGAGUAACGCGUGGAUAAUCUGCCCUGUGAUCUGGGAUAACACUUCGAAAGGGGUGCUAAUACCGGAUAAGACCACGGAGUCUUAGGACUCUGCGGUAAAAGGUGGGGACCUUCGGGCCUACCGUCAUCGGAUGAGUCCGCGUACCAUUAGCUAGUUGGUAGGGUAAGAGCCUACCAAGGCGACGAUGGUUAGCUGGUCU
rnacentral:rRNA from 1 species